rnacentral:lncRNA from 1 species
CAGGUCUGAGAGUGUUCACUGUGAAGAGAGAUUUAAUAAACAGGUCUGAUUGUGUUCACUGUAAAGAGAGGUUUAAUAAACAGGUCUGAGAGUGUUCACUGUGAAGAGAGGUUUAAUAAACAGGUCUGAGAGUGUUCAGUGUGAAGAGAGGUUUAAUAAACAGGUCUGAGAGUGUUCACUGUAAAGAGAGGUUUAAUAAACAGGUCUGAGAGUGUUCACUGUGAAGAGAGAUUUAAUAAACAGGUCUGAGAGUGUUCACUGUAAAGAGAGGUUUAAUAAACAGGUCUGAGAGUGUUCACUGUGAGGAGAG